UUACGGGGUGAGGGGCAAGCGUUCGGGGCGCAGGAAGGCAACCUUCCUCCAUAGGAUUCUUGGCCUGCUUUCCCGGCUAGUUUUGCUAGCCUGGUCUCGGUGAACACACCGUGCCAAGGAAAACAAAAACCAAGGACCCAGGAGAAAAGCCGCUGUGUACAGAGCACAAGCCUCUAAAUAGCUCUCCAACUCCUGUCUAAACCUCAGAAAUGUGACUUUGGGGUAGGACGAGGGCUGUUGCGUGCGGAACAGAAUCGGGACAAAUCCGGAACAGGGCAGGGAUCCUGUAAUUGCACUGAAUUGUAGGUCUAUUGAAAACGUGGCCUUCACGGGAGACUCUCAAAGCCCCCUGUGGUGGCAAGGCUGAAUUUUCCGGAGGGGGUCGCCCGAGUCCCCCCCCCAGGGUGCAGGGGCCGAGCGGCCAGAACAGAAGGCCUUGUCCUGAGGAGGGCUGGAUGGCUGGGUUACAGACAGGCCCGCGUGUGUCAGCCCCGUCCUUGGCCAAGGCCGGAAGAUCCUGAUUAACAUGAAAACGAAAGACAAUUGGGCGUCCUCGGCGGGCGGCCGGCUUCUGUGCGGCUGAGGGGGGAAGGUAAUCAUUCUAUCACUGUCUUUCGUGGCCAAUUAGAUGAUUCAGCAUAUUCCCGGCCUCUCUCUCCGCUGAGGUGAUUUAUAGUGAGCCAGCGCCAGAUGGGGUUGUGUGCAAGACAUGAAAACAUUGGCGGGGCCUCUCACAGCCACCCCGGCUGCUGACAGCUUCUAUUGGAGAAAUUCUCCUCUCAGGCGAAAAUAGCUACUUGCGGGGAUCUCCUCACGGGUGGAAUGAGGGUGGGGGGGCAGGAGGGUAGAGGUUAGCCCACUCGGCUGUUGUGGGAGAAGAGCUUCGGGAAAACAGCCCAGAAGGCGGUGGCUCGGAAGGAGGCAAGAGGGGCAGGGCUGCUUUGCCUCUGAUGUCUGAGCUCCCGUGUCUGGGGCCUGCGGCGGCAAGUGGGCCUGAUGUCUGGGGCGCAGGGGUGAGCGGCCAUGAUGGGAACGUGUGCGUGCACUUGGGAUGGGCCCGAGACGGGUCUCGGCAUCUGCAUUCUCGUAGGUGUUUUGACGGGCUGCUCUGGGUAAUUGCUUUGAUGGGUGGCUCUGUCCAUCCUGGGCAGUGGGUAGAUCGCAUAGCUACUGAGCCGGGAGGGUGAAGGAAGCUGUGCUGUGUCCUCAGGGGUAAGGAAGCCCCGACACAAUCUUCCUGAAGGAGUCAACGGUGGACCACGACGGCUCUGUGUUGUUCGGAAGCUAGGAGUUGUUUCCAUCCAUCUGUCUUUCCAAGAAAGAGAGCCUCCAGCUUCUGUAAUGAACUCUGGAUGUCACCCAUAGAACACUGACCAUUCCCGGCCACUCCCUAAGUCACUUAUUGGAAGGCUGAGAGGCCUGGCCUGACAUCGAGUACCACCCUCGUCACCGCCGUCAUCAGUGCUGAUCAACGUCAUUUUCCCUCACGCUUGUGAAAUACCUAUCAUAUGCCAGCAAUUAUUCCAGAUGCCUUACAUGCCUCAUUUAUUUCCCAAGACGAUCCUUUGGCUAUUAGCAUUCUGUGAUGGUUAAUUGAAUGUGGCAACCUGACUGGGCCGUGGGGUGCCCAGACAUUAUUCUGUGUGUGUCUGGGAGGAUGUUUCUGGAUGAGACUAACAAUUGAAUUGGUAGACUGAGUAAGCAAACUGCCCUCCCCGGUGUGGGUGGGCCUCAUCCAAUCAGUUGAAGAUAUGAAUAAAACCAAAAGUCUGAGUUCGAAGAAACUUUGGCCUGCCUGCUUGUUGAACUGGGACAUUGGUUUCCUGUCCUCAGAGUGAAACUUACAGCAUCAGCUCUCCUCGCUCUCGGGCCUUCAGACUUAGACUAGGACUGCACCACGGGCUCUCCUGGCUUCCCAGCUUGCUGACUGCAGAUCUUGGAACUUCUCAGCCUCCAUAAUCAUGCCCCAUCGUGGAAGGAUUACUGAGAAUUCUCCAGGGCUGCCUGGCCGCAUGCUGGGCUCUCAAACCUCAGUGACCUGAGACCGCUGGUGAUGUCGUGGAAGCUGGAGGGUCCGACCUACACUCAAGGGGAGGGGAUUACACAGGAGCAUGGAUUCUGAUGAGGGAUUCUGCCUCAAGACCGUAACAUAGAAAUCCUAUCUGAGCGUCCACCCUGCUGGCCCGUCCUAAAGAUUUCAAUGUCAAGACUACAACGUGAACUCCUGUCUGAGUUUCCAGUUUGUUGGCCUGCCCUGUGAAUUUCAAACUGCGGGCUGUGACAUCAACUCUUGCCUGAGUUUCUGGCCCUACAAGUUUCAGACUUGCCAGCCUCCAGAAUUGUAUGUGUCAAUUCCUUAAAAUAAAUGUCUUCAUGUGUG